rnacentral:lncRNA from 1 species
AGGGGCGGAUCUACAUAAAAAAAUUGGUUGCUCGAACACCCAUUAACCUCGACCCCGAACAUGUAUAAUUAUAUAAAAAACUUAAGAAAACGGAUAUAACAAAAUAGCAAGCACCCAGAUAACAAAAGGCUUGGUGGGUGCUUUGGUUAUGAUGGAUGUUGAAGGGCUCUAAAUGAGUAUAUGGUCAAGAGAUCGAAUCUCA